UACGUAGGGUGCGAGCGUUUGUCCGGAAUUAUUUGGGCGUAAAGAGCUUGUAGGCGGUCUGUCGCGUCUGCUGUGAAAAUCCGGGCUCAACCCCGGACUUGCAGUGGGUACGGGCUAGACUAGAGUGUGGUAGGGGAGACUGGAAUUCCUGGUGUAGCGGUGGAAUGCGCAGAUAUCGCUUGGAACGCCAAUGGUGAAAACAGCUGCGGCUGGGGGUGUGCUGACGCUGAGACACGAAGCCAGGGGAGCGAA
rnacentral:rRNA from 1 species